UAUUUCAUUGGACUAUUUAAUUAUCGCGGGAGCAGCCACUUUUUGCAGGUUAACGGCUCCGUGCGCGGCCAAGUCUAUCUCAAGUCUGCCUGCCACGGACCACGGAGCUGUGUGCACAUGAGCGGAGGAUCACAUCUGUAGCACUGGUUAACGGUUACGGCUCAGUGCGCGACCAAGUCUGUCUCGUCUCAAGUCUGCCUGCCACGGACCACGGAGCUGUGUACACAUGAGCGGAGGAGCUACAUCUGUAGCACUGGACGAUCAUGCUAUUCUUAAAGGCGAUUCAUGCUGAGUGUGGAUCGAAACAUAGUACAGGACAACAUCCCCUCCUUGGUGUCUGCCCUGUCCAUGAUGUUUGGGAGCUAUUAUUGCUUCAACAUCGCCUACCCGUCAGAGCUGGCAUCCAUCCUGGAGUUUGUCCAGAGGUGUUUUUUCUCCAUCAACCCAGAGAAGGGCACCAAAGUGGAGAAGACACGCGCAUCCCGUCUUCAGGUGAACCCGAGAGUUCUCACCUUGAUACAGGAACUUUCGGACCAUGAGUGGCGUGAUGUCUGAAUAUGGACAGUAAGAUCAAUGGCAUGUGGCGAUGUGCCCAAGUUACAGUUUGUUUGAUUGUUUAAAUCGUAGUUAAAAUUUGAAGUGCCUUUUUUUUAUGUUCUUUUAACUAAUUAAAAAAAAUGCAAUAUGUAACUCUCAAAAUGUCAAACUAUUCUUUUAAGGUCA